UACGUAGGGUGCGAGCGUUAAUCGGAAUUACUGGGCGUAAAGCGUGCGCAGGCGGUUAUGUAAGACAGUUGUGAAAUCCCCGGGCUCAACCUGGGAAUUGCAUCUGUGACUGCAUAGCUAGAGUACGGUAGAGGGGGAUGGAAUUCCGCGUGUAGCAGUGAAAUGCGUAGAUAUGCGGAGGAACACCGAUGGCGAAGGCAAUCCCCUGGACCUGUACUGACGCUCAUGCACGAAAGCGUGGGGAGCCAAACAGG
rnacentral:rRNA from 1 species